rnacentral:rRNA from 1 species
AAACCAACAGGGAUUGCCCCAGUAACGGCGAGUGAAGCGGCAAAAGCUCAAUUUUGAAAGCCCUAGGGCAUUGUAAUUUGAUGGGUCGAGGUGGAUCAGGUAAAAGUCUACUGGAACGUAGCGCCAUAGAGGGUGACAGCCCCGUUAAUACCUACCCCAUAUACCUCCUCCCAAAGAGUCGAGUUGUUUGGGAAUGCAGCUCUAACAGGUGGUAUACUCCAUCUAAAGCUAAAUAUUGGCGAGAGACCGAUAGCGAACAAGUACAGUGAUGGAAAGAUGAAAAGCACUUUGAAAAGAGAGUGAAAAAGUACGUGAAAUUGUUGAAAGGGAAGGGUUUGAGGGGUGUGGUGGAUCAGAGAUGUCGGGGGCCAAAAAAAAAGAGGAAUGUAACUUUCGAGUAUUAUAUCCUCUUUCUCCAACCCCCUUCCUCUCCCCUCCACCAAAACCCCCCCAAACCGC